rnacentral:lncRNA from 1 species
CUGAUACGAGAGCCUUGCGAGGUUUCGAUCGACAUUUGGGGUGAAGAAUGUUUGUCGAGGCUUCGCGGCGGUUGUCACAGGCUCGAUGGGGAGUUUCGGGUCGUGACAACCUUUCUCAUGCAUUCUUUUUCAUUCUCCAUGGCUAAAAUUCAAGUUUUCAAGAGGGAACCUUUGCUGGCCAAAUCUAGAGAGAGAAGUUUUGGUGAUGAAUUUUGCUAGAUUUC